rnacentral:lncRNA from 1 species
GAGGAUGGGAAGAGCGAGAACUAAAAAUAGAGAACUCUUUUAUUGGAGUUUUGCUUGAUUGAGGAAUAGAAAAACAAGGCAAUGAUUAUGCCUUGUAGUAGAUUAUAGCACUUUUAAUUUGGAGUUAUGUGAUGAUUUUUUUAAAAAGAUCUUAUUAAGGCAUGCUGUGUGCCAAUUAGAAUGAUCCACUGGAGAGAGAAAAAAAUUGCUGAUGCAACAGAGAGAAAACUAUAGUGCAGAACCAAUUUCCCUGAAAAAAUGAAUGGGAAUGGAAUCCAGGACACAGAUGGAAGGACCGACUAACUGGGACCACAGAUUGUCUCCUACCAGAACAAGAAUUAUAUGGGAUAGAAGCAGACUAAGGAACUUCAAUAUGGCAGACCAAGGCACCAGCAGUGAACCCAUGUUACUGACAGUGAAUCCACAUGGACCUGCAGCAACCUCAAUUCUUGCCUCCUCAGAAGGAAGAAUUUGACUGAGGGCCAUAGGCAGAAGUUUUUGCCCAGGUCAAGGCUAACUCAUGAUGUGGAAGAUGUUGCUGUUAUUGCAAAUGGCCCUGCUGCUUCAUCCAAAGACCACUAGCAGCAAUUUUAAGACUCAAAUACCUAUAAGAAUCACAGCAGGUACUUGUUAGAAGUGAAAAUAUCUGGACCCACUCCCAGCAGUUCUCAUUCAGGUACUCUCUGGAGGGGGAUGGGUGUGAGCUCAGAACUUAUAUUUUGGAAAAACACCUUAGGUCAUUUGAUUUAGCUAAGUAGGAGGAUCAAAUUUUGAGAAAUAUCAAGGUGGAAUAAAAUAUAUGAACCUGAGAAAAUUAGAAUAGUGGCAACAGUAAUUGUGGUAGAGUAGAGUAGAAGAGUUGGAGAGAAAGAAUAUGUAUGCAUGUGUUUAUUAAAGGAGAAGAAUAGAUGAAAAGGAAGUGCAUGCCUGGCCCUGGCCUUGACCCUGGUGCUACAGCCUCCCAUACAACUUCAUUUCCAAACCUGCUGCCUGUCAGCCUUGCAUCUGAGGGGAAUACUACUUCAACCAUUCUAUUCUUUUAAAAUAAAAUUGAUUUAAAUUGGGAUAACUUAAUAAGUUAAUUACCUAUAAAUGAAAUUAUCCCCCUAUAUUUCUUUGCCAGACAUGCAUUUAUACUCUUAUUUGGUCAUGUGCUGCUGAUAUCCCAGGAGUUUCAUUCUGUUUGCCCCCAUCAAAAAAACGAUUAAACAUGCAUUUUUAGCAAAUUCUUCUUCAAGCCCCUUUGCAGAAUGUUAGUAGAUUUUUAAUAAUGUUUCAAAUAAAGAAAUAUAUUCAACAUAUUUCUUCGAUUUCUCUUAGGAGAGGUAGAGUCAAUUGAGCGACCUAAGUAAUAAAUGAGCUGCUAAUAUUGUGUCAGGAAAUAUAUAUUAUUGACUUACGGGUCACUCCUCAAAAGAACAAAAUAAAAUAGUCAUGAGUCGAAAUAGGAAAAAUUUUCUAAACAGCUGUUUAAGGCAAGGCAAUCCCAAAGUCUAACAUUCCCAUGGAGAUUGUUCAUGACCUGUACUUGAAAAAAAACAGAUCUAUGCUACUCCUUCCAACAUGAAUAUGAAACAGCAUUUGAAAUGGUGUUCUUCAAAGAACAACUAUGAAAUGUUUCCCAAAAACAAUUAUGUGAAAAAAGUAUUUAACCUUAAAUUGUACAUAAAGAUUUGGAUAGGUUACCGCCUCAUCUCCAGCAGUUAUUCGAUGCCAUAGUUGGUAUCUAUUUGUAACUGGCAUUGGCAUUAUGGUCAACAGGAGUCAUUAAUAACCCAAUAAAGAGUUAAUAGAUGACCUUAGGAACUGACUUUAAAAAUGGGACAUUGAUAUUUUUAAAUGACAUAAAAAUUUUUUUGUUAUUAGAUUUUACUGAUUUUCUUCAUUUUUUAAUUCUAGGAUCUUAUAAAAAUUAAGCAUAAGUGUAUACCUAAUUUCAUAACUGGUUUUCAUGAAAAGAAAACUAAAAGCAAGUACACAGAAAAGGCAGAUCAUGUUUUCUGAAUGUUAGCUGAACUUCUGUUGGCUACAUUCCUCAUACAGGUCAUGUGGGUAAGUUCAACCUAAGUGAAAAUUAGAUUAGGUUUCUAACUACUGUCACUCCCCCAACCCCAUCUAAUGAACUUCCUCACUCCCAGGCCACCCAUCUCCCAGUCAGAAAUCCUAUCAAUCUUUUAUUGGGAGUUUGAGUAGGAUUUAUUGACCACUCAGGAACUCUCAAUAUCUAGAAAGCAAGGAGUACAACACAGUACUGUAAAGUAUAUAAUACAAUGUAUUUACUUUUUAGUUGUUCUCUGUCUUCACAGGCUUAGAUAGAUAUUUUUAAUUAGUACACUUUGGCAUUGAGUGA